AGCGCGGCCCGGGGGGAGCGCGAAAUGGCGGAUGCGCGGGUGGGCGGCGCGCACACGAACGCGCGUGUCCGCGUCCCUCUGUCCGCCCGCGGCCGGUCCGUCCGUCCCUCCGUGCACGGGGUAUGGGGAUGAGCGACCCGCACCGCUUCUCGCCGGGGCAACAAAGACUGCCCCUGUUCCGUGCCCCGCACCCCCCCGCCGCCCCCGGCCCCGCUCACUCGUCAGGGAACAGAAGUGGAAACUCAGAGAGAAAUCUGUGGACUGCUAGUAAUGAGAUGGAGACAAGAGCUGAUGAAAGCUUUGAGGUCUUCUCCUCAGGGAGAAGCAGCAUGUCCGUUGGAUGUGGUACCAGAAUCUGCAGCUUUGUGGCACAAUAUUAUAGUAAUGCUCCUGUCACUGCUAGAGGUUUGGCCAUAACAGCAGAUAAUGUGUGAGAGUGCAAGCCUGCUGCCCUCCCUUUGGCAGACUGUGGGUGCUCUUUCAGUUGGCAAUGCUGCCUAUCCCCCCCACCCCCUUCCCAGCCAUUCCUUUGCAAAGCAGUUUGUCACCCCCUGGGCUGUGCUAAUGCAUCCCCCGCUGAGGAGUGACACUGCUGGAGCUACUAAAUGGUCCCAACUCAUAGUACCCCCAAUACCUCUUUCUCUUGGAAAGUUAUUCAAGGAUCCAGCUUACAAAAUGGCAUGAUAAACAUCUAGGCAAAGCUGAGCUGGCAGCAAAAGGAAGUGUCAGGGCAGGAGUGAGCGGUUGGGGGUAAGGAAAUUGCAGGAACAUCUUCAGCUGCUCUACAAUAAAAGACCAUAUGUAAUGGUUUGACACA